rnacentral:rRNA from 1 species
UGGGGAAUUUUGGACUAUGGGCGAAAGCCUGAUCCAGCCAUGCCGCGUGAGUGAAGAAGGCCUUCGGGUUGUAAAGCUCUUUUAGUCGGAAAGAAAGAGUCGCAAUGAAUAAUUGUGAUUUAUGACGGUACCGACAGAAAAAGCACCGGCUAACUACGUGCCAGCAGCCGCGGUAAUACGUAGGAUGCAAGCGUUAAUCGGAAUUACUGGGCGUAAAGGGUGCGCAGGCGGUUUUGCAAGUCAGAUGUGAAAGCCCCGGGCUUAACCUGGGAAUUGCGUUUGAAACUACAAGGCUAGAGUGCAGCAGAGGAAAGUGGAAUUCCAUGUGUAGCAGUGAAAUGCAUAGAGAUGUGGAAGAACACCGAUGGCGAAGACAGCUCCCUGGGUUGACACUGACGCUCA